rnacentral:lncRNA from 1 species
CAAAGACAUGCAGACAUUUGCUUUGUAGGUUUUAUUAUUUCUCUAAACUUCAAUUCGUCUUUUGAAGCAACAUAUUAAAAAAAAGGCUG